rnacentral:sRNA from 1 species
GCACUGCGCGAUAAAAUCUCAGCCAGCAA